UGUCCAAUGCGGGAAUCGAACCCGGGUCAUAGUGGUCGAAAACCAAACGGUUUACCAGCCUUCCACCAACCCCCACUAAAC
rnacentral:tRNA from 1 species